AUAAAUGGCCGUUUUAACUGUUACUAAUCCAUGGUCUGAUAAGAUGUAAUAACAAGAGGAAGACCGGUAUUUUCACAACAAUACGAUGGCCUAAAUAUAUGACCAGCAAGACGAAGACCGAUUUUCACAGCAAGCCGAGUUAAGGGUGUGAAGUUAUAUUUAAAUAUACUUAGCAAAGAUACAAACCAAAGAACAUUUACAGAGCUCUGUCAGCCAUUAACCGAAUUCUCUUAAACGAAAAUAAACCUGCACGCAACCAAAUGGUUGUUUAUAUAUUGAAAAUAAACCUACAAGCAACCAAAUGGUUGGAAAUGAAAAAUGUUUGG